rnacentral:rRNA from 1 species
GGGAAAGAUAAUGACUGUACCCGAAGAAUAAGGUCCGGCUAACUUCGUGCCAGCAGCCGCGGUAAUACGAAGGGACCUAGCGUAAUUCGGAAUUACUGGGCGUAAAGCGCGCGUAGGCGGUUAAGUAAGUUAAUUGCGAAAGCCCAAAGCUCAACUUUGGAAUUGCAAUUAAAACUACUUAGCUAGAGUUUAUCAGAGGAAAGCGGAAUACAUAGUGUAGAGGUGAAAUUCGUAGAUAUUAUGUAGAACACCAGUUGCGAAGGCGGCUUUCUGGGAUAACACUGACGCUGAGGUGCGAAAGUAUGGGUAGCGAAGAGGAUUAGAUACCCUCGUAGUCCAUACCGUAAACGAUGAUUGUUAGAUGUUGGAAAUUUAUUUUCAGUAUCACAGCUAACGCGUUAAACAAUCCGCCUGGGGAGUACGACCGCAAGGUUAAAACUCAAAUGAAUUGACGGGGACCCGCACAAGCGGUGGAGCAUGUGGUUUAAUUCGAAGCUACGCGCAGAACCUUACCAACACUUGACAUGUCUGUCGCGGAUUCCAGAAAUGGAUUCCUUCGGUUCGGCCGGACAGAACACAGGUGCUGCAUGGCUGUCGUCAGCUCGUGUCGUGAGAUGUUGGGUUAAGUCCCGCAACGAGCGCAACCCCUACUUCUAGUUGCCAUCAGGUUAAGCUGGGCACUCUAGUAGGACUGCCUGUGAUAAGCAGGAGGAAGGUUGGGAUGACGUCAAGUCCUCAUGGCCCUUACGUGUUGGGCUACACACGUGCUACAAUGGCAGUGACAAUGAGAUGCUAAACAGCGAUGUUAAGCUAAACUCAAAAACCUGCCUCAGUUCGGAUUGCACUCUGCAACUCGAGUGCAUGAAGCUGGAAUCGCUAGUAAUCGCUCAUCAGCGCGGAGCGGUGAAUACGUUCCCGGGUCUUGUACACACCGCCCGUCACACCAUGGAAGUUGGUUUUACCUUAAGGCAUAUCACUAACCCUCGGGAAGUGCGUGACCACGGUAUGGUCGGCGACUGGGGUG